GGAAUGUGGCUCAAGUGGUAAUGUGCUUGCCUGGCAUGCGUGAGGCACUGGGUUCGACCCUCAGCACCA
rnacentral:tRNA from 1 species